rnacentral:ncRNA from 1 species
GCGAGGGCUUAAUAGGGAAGACCGGUGAAAGGCCGGCACGGUCCCGCCACUGUAAUGCGGAGCGUCUCCAACUAUGCCACUGAGCGAUCGGGAAGGCCGGAGAUGUGAGGAAGCAGAGGCAGGAGAACUGCCUGUUCA